rnacentral:tRNA from 1 species
CGCGGAAUCGCUGGAAAACAAACGGAUUAUUGAGGCCCCGUGAAGCCCCGUGAAGGGGGUUUUAAGGGAAUCAUAAUCCCUUGGUCGGGGGUUCAAAUCCCUCCUCCGCUACCA